rnacentral:rRNA from 1 species
UCUCCUGGGAAACGGGUGGUAAUGCCGGAUGCUCCAGUUGAUCGCAUGGUCUUCUGGGAAAGCUUUCGCGGUAUGGGAUGGGGUCGCGUCCUAUCAGCUUGACGGCGGGGUAACGGCCCACCGUGGCUUCGACGGGUAGCCGGCCUGAGAGGGCGACCGGCCACAUUGGGACUGAGAUACGGCCCAGACUCCUACGGGAGGCAGCAGUGGGGAAUAUUGCACAAUGGGCGCAAGCCUGAUGCAGCGACGCCGCGUGAGGGAUGGAGGCCUUCGGGUUGUAAACCUCUUUUAUCGGGGAGCAAGCGAGAGUGAGUUUACCCGUUGAAUAAGCACCGGCUAACUACGUGCCAGCAGCCGCGGUAAUACGUAGGGUGCAAGCGUUAUCCGGAAUUAUUGGGCGUAAAGGGCUCGUAGGCGGUUCGUCGCGUCCGGUGUGAAAGUCCAUCGCUUAACGGUGGAUCCGCGCCGGGUACGGGCGGGCUUGAGUGCGGUAGGGGAGACUGGAAUUCCCGGUGUAACGGUGGAAUGUGUAGAUAUCGGGAAGAACACCA